CCGCGUGUGGGACGAAGGCCUUCGGGUCGUAAACCACUGUCAGUGGGAAAGAUGGGUGUCGGCGCUAAUACCGCUGGCAUCUGACGGUACCUGCAGAGGAAGCCCCGGCCAACUCUGUGCCAGCAGCCGCGGUAAGACAGAGGGGGCAAGCGUUGCUCGGAAUUACUGGGCGUAAAGGGCGCGUAGGCGGGAUGGCAAGUCGGUCGUGAAAUCCCUCGGCUCAACCGAGGAACGUCGAUCGAUACUGCUGUUCUUGAGGAUUGCAGAGGAGACUGGAAUUCCCGGUGUAGCGGUGAAAUGUGUAGAGAUCGGGAGGAACACCGGUGGCGAAGGCGGGUCUCUGGGCAAUUCCUGACGCUGAGGCGCGAAAGCGUGGGGAGCAAACGGGAUUAGAUACCCCGGUAGUCCACGCUGUAAACGAUGAGCACUAGGUGUGGGGGGGUUCAGUCCCUUCCGUGCCGCAGCUAACGCAUUAAGUGCUCCGCCUGGGGAGUACGGCCGCAAGGUUG
rnacentral:rRNA from 1 species